AUCUCUGGAAGUGCGAAAGGUGAGCUAGUACAGGAUGGACCCGCGUCUGAUUAGUUAGUUGGUAAGGUAACGGCUUACCAAGGCGACGAUCAGUAGCCGACCUGAGAGGGGGAUCGGCCACAUUGGAACUGAGACACGGUCCAAACGCCUACGGGAGGCAGCAGUGGGGAAUAUUGAACAAUGGGCGAAAGCCUGAUGCAGCAACGCCGGGUGGGUGAUGAAGGCCUUCGGGUCGUAAAACUCUGUCCUCAAGGAAGAUAAGGACGGUACUUGAGGAGGAAGCCCCGGCUAACUACGUGCCAGCAGCCGCGGUAAUACGUAGGGGGCUAGCGUUAUCCGGAUUUACUGGGCGUAAAGGGUGCGUAGGCGGUCUUUCAAGUCAGGAGUGAAAGGCUACGGCUCAACCGUAGUAAGCUCUUGAAACUGGGAGACUUGAGUGCAGGAGAGGAGAGUGGAAUUCCUAGUGUAGCGGUGAAAUGCGUAGAUAUUAGGAGGAACACCAGUU
rnacentral:rRNA from 1 species